rnacentral:ncRNA from 2 species
AUCUGAAUGGGCGAUGGGGUUCGCCUUCAUAAUGAAAACCGCAGAGUUCUGAAAGCUGCUGAUAACUCCAGAAAUAAA